UACGGAGGGGGCUAGCGUUGUUCGGAAUUACUGGGCGUAAAGCGCACGUAGGCGGACUGGAAAGUUGGGGGUGAAAUCCCGGGGCUCAACCUCGGAACUGCCUUCAAAACUAUCAGUCUGGAGUUCGAGAGAGGUGAGUGGAAUACCGAGUGUAGAGGUGAAAUUCGUAGAUAUUCGGUGGAACACCAGUGGCGAAGGCGGCUCACUGGCUCGAUACUGACGCUGAGGUGCGAAAGCGUGGGGAGCAAACAGG
rnacentral:rRNA from 1 species